rnacentral:tRNA from 1 species
GUGGACUAGCGACCACUAGUCAUCUGACUACGGGUCGGAAGGCUAGGGGUUCGAGUCCCUUCGGGC